rnacentral:rRNA from 1 species
UACAGAGGGUGCAAGCGUUAAUCGGAAUUACUGGGCGUAAAGCGCGCGUAGGUGGUUUGAUAAGUAGGCUGUGAAAUCCCCGGGCUCAACCUGGGAACUGCAGUCUAAACUGUCUGACUAGAGAUCGGUAGAGGGGGAUGGAAUUUCUGGUGUAGCGGUGAAAUGCGUAGAGAUCAGAAAGAACAUCAGUGGCGAAGGCGAUCCCCUGGACUAAAUCUGACACUGAAGUGCGAAAGCGUGGGGAGCAAACAGGAUUAGAUACCCCAGUAGU